AUGGAAACCAACACCAGAGGUGGGAUAUUUGAGUGUCUGUGGAGGCCUCUGAGAAGAGUCUGGAGACUCCUGUGGUGCCGUGGACCUGAUGAGUCUGGUGUGUAUCUGAAAGAUUGCCACUUUAUCAUUAAGCAGCACUUUAUAAUAAUUUUAUGUCAUUACCUAAUAUUAUAUAGCCUAAUGCUGAAUAGAUCAGUAAUUCAUGAACAUGCAAAUAAGAAUGUAUGUAAAAAAUCUAAAUAUUUAUCUGAAUAUUACAUUGUUUAAUGUGUUGUAUAGUUUAAAGUGUUACUUUUUCACCGUGGGUGACAUUGGGGGUGGGUGGCAGAUUAUAAACACUCACAAAAAAAAAACAAAAAAAACACCUGUGUGUGUGUGUGUGUGUGUGUGUGUGUAAUGUUUUAUCAGAAAUAAAACAUUCCCUGGAAGAAACA
ensembl:lncRNA